CUUUCUGAUCAUCAAAUGUUCUUCUGUGAUGUUUGGGCUAGAUGUCAGAUUUACUUAAUAAUGCCGAAGCAUCUGUCUUGCCUCCACUGCUCCGCAUGUUUUACUUUUGGGUAGUUUGACAUCUUAGAACCUUGUUGUUAUUACACCAUGACCCAUCGAGUCAGGUUUGUAAAGUUGAGGACAGAUCUAAAAUUUUGGAUUUGAUCCCUUAGUCAGCAGCUGAAAGCAGGACUUGAUGAACAGCCACUUAGGAGGGGACUUUUAGGGAAAUUGUUUAAAUUGCUUCAGUAGAAGUAUUGCAAUCGUUUUAUUGGCCGAGUGGCUCAAAAAUAAAAUAAAAAAUUCUUCUAUAGAGAACUCCGACAAAUUUUUAAAACAGAUAGUGGCAUUCUCGGGUUGCUUAGCUUCUUGUGCCCAUGUUAGAGUUNCAAAAUCAAGUGCUAUAAAGCUUAUCGAUAUUGGCAGUACUACAUUUGAAAGCCAGGGUCAUAGCUAUGUGGUGUCUACACGUCAUUAUCGUGCUCCGGAGGUUAUUUUGGGUAAUUAGUGGUUCUUGUAUUUUUUUGGUUGCAUUUUUAAUUAUUUUCAGGUGGCUCAAUGAGUUAUUGCUGAUGCUGUUUUCUGUAGGUCUUGGAUGGAACUAUCUUUGUGAUAUGUGGAGUAUAGGUUCCAUGCUUGUUGAAUUGUGCUCUGUAAGUAAGAAAGCAACAUAUAGUUUUCACCACCUUUUAAAAUUGAACAUUAUUUGUUUUAGUUUAUAUUUUGGCAUUGUUAUGUUAAUGUAUAUGUGCAAUUGUGGCUCGUCCAUCUACUUAGGCAUCUUAUGCAGUUGAUUGUAUUACUAAGAAGGAGCUAUUUGCAUGUUGGGUUACCUGUCAUAUCUAGAUAUUCUUACUAGCAUUCUUUAAAUUGAUGAAUACUGUGCCUAUUACCAUCUAAGAUGGCUUUCUAAGGAAGCAUGCUAGUGCCCUAGUCAACAUUUCCAACUUAGAUUGUUCUGUCAGAAUGUAUUUUUAAUCAGUUUUUGAAAAGCUAUUUUCUGUGAUCGCUAAUUUUCCCCUUUUACUCUAGUGCCUCCUCUUAGUUUUUCUUCUCCAUCCUCUUUCUUUUAAGUCGUUCUUUUUAUAUUUCUGGCGGCAGUAGUUUGUGGUUUGGUUGAUCUAUUUUGGGAGUUGCUUGGGGUUAUGUUGGUUAUUACAUUCUUACUUCUUCUUGUUUGGCAAGAGACUGUAUGGGGAGCGAGGAAAACUAAAUAGGUGCAUUUAGCUGUUGAUGGUUCUAUUAGUUGGAGCUUACUUUAGAAUAUGGUACAUACAUUAUUUCUUUCUGAUCAUCAAAUGUUCUUCUGUGAUGUUUGGGCUAGAUGUCAGAUUUACUUAAUAAUGCCGAAGCAUCUGUCUUGCCUCCACUGCUCCGCAUGUUUUACUUUUGGGUAGUUUGACAUCUUAGAACCUUGUUGUUAUUACACCAUGACCCAUCGAGUCAGGUUUGUAAAGUUGAGGACAGAUCUAAAAUUUUGGAUUUGAUCCCUUAGUCAGCAGCUGAAAGCAGGACUUGAUGAACAGCCACUUAGGAGGGGACUUUUAGGGAAAUUGUUUAAAUUGCUUCAGUAGAAGUAUUGCAAUCGUUUUAUUGGCCGAGUGGCUCAAAAAUAAAAUAAAAAAUUCUUCUAUAGAGAACUCCGACAAAUUUUUAAAACAGAUAGUGGCAUUCUCGGGUUGCUUAGCUUCUUGUGCCCAUGUUAGAGUUGGUAAGGCGCGUGUCACUAAUGAGAUUCUGUGGUACAUACAGAUAUAUUAGAAAGAGAGAAUUAACCUUUAUAGUGCAAAUAUUUUACAAUAUCAAUUUUUUUGUUUCUUAGUGAAGAAGCCGGAAAAACUCUCGAAUUCUAAAGAAUGAAUGUGGUUUAAAUAGUGUCAAACCCUCUUUUACCAGUAUCAUUAAUUUGGCACUAAGCUUCUAAGGGUGUCACCGAUAUGAUCUCUCCACUGUAUUCCAGAACCUGAUCGUGAAGCAUGUAGACCACUCAGCUGGAUAUCUGAUUAAUCUUUUGCAAGGGCUUUGAUAGGUUCCAACCUGUAGCAGAAAGAAGGAACAGAAGUAAAUGCAGGAAAAAGCUUUUUAUAUAUUGAUGGAAUGGAAAUUACAACUCAAAAAACAGAAACGACCGAGGCCAUUCGAGAGGGCCUUACUCUCCUAAUAUGACGUUACAAUCUUUUUUCAUGCCCCAAGACUCCCAGCAUCUAUUCUAUUUAUAACUCCCCUGUUUAAUUAACUCUAGCCAUGUCACUCUUGCUCGACAGAAUUUGUUACCCCCUCCACAACCUUCUUGAUCCUUCUAGAAUGGGUAUAUUUGAUUGGGGCUCUAUUAGGUUUCUACGGUAUGACCCUGCUGAGCGAUUCAAAGCAAGAGAAGCUCUAUGACACCCCUUCUUCUCAAGGGAUCUGAGAAGGCGUUUCUAUCCAUUCUGAUUGGAACAUCUCAUCUGUGCUUUCUAUUGGGAGAACAAGGAAAGGAAAAUCCACACUUAUUACAUUAAACAAAAAAGGGGAAACGAUAACAGAAGGUGACAGAAAACAGUACAUUCUGAAGAUUGGCUGCAGUUAGUGCCAACCUCUGAUGCACUUGAUCUGCUGGGCUUAAGCUGUAAGUAUGUGGUUUUCUCAUUUAUUUGAUUUAAGUCUCUCAUUUCUUCUAUCGUUAUAUGAUUAAUUGUAUGCAAAUGUGUCCAUUUGGAAAUUCAGUGUUACUAUUCACUUCUUCUGUGAGUCAUGACUUGAAAUGAAGAUUCAAACUAAUAUAAUCUCUGAUUAAAGGUUAAUAGCUAGACUUUUCAUUCUUCACCGGUUAAAAUCAGUGUUCGUCAAUCAACUCAUUGCGGAGUUUCAUUUUAG
rnacentral:lncRNA from 1 species